rnacentral:rRNA from 1 species
UACGUAGGGUGCAAGCGUUAAUCGGAAUUACUGGGCGUAAAGCGUGCGUAGACGGUUACAUAAGUCGGGUGUGAAAGCCCCGGGCUCAACCUGGGAAUUGCAUUCGAGACUGCGUAGCUAGGGUGCGGAAGAGGGAAGCGGAAUUUCCGGUGUAGCGGUGAAAUGCGUAGAUAUCGGAAGGAACACCAGUGGCGAAAGCGGCUUCCUGGUCCAGCACCGACGUCAGGCACGAAAGCGUGGGGAUCAAACAGG